CCUACGGGCGGCAGCAGUGAGGAAUAUUGGUCAAUGGACGAGAGUCUGAACCAGCCAAGUAGCGUGAAGGAUGACUGCCCUAUGGGUUGUAAACUUCUUUUAUAUGGGAAUAAAACGUUCCACGUGUGGGAUUUUGUAUGUACCAUAUGAAUAAGGAUCGGCUAACUCCGUGCCAGCAGCCGCGGUAAUACGGAGGAUCCGAGCGUUAUCCGGAUUUAUUGGGGUUAAAGGGAGCGUAGGUGGAUUGUUAAGUCAGUUGUGAAAGUUUGCGGCUCAACCGUAAAAUUGCAGUUGAAACUGGCAGUCUUGAGUACAGUAGAGGUGGGCGGAAUGCGUGGUGUAGCGGUGAAAUGCUUAGAUAUCACGAAGAACUCCGAUUGCGAAGGCAGUUCACUGGACUGCAACUGACACUGAGGCUCGAAAGUGUGGGUAUCAAACAGGAUUAGAUACCCCAGUAGUC
rnacentral:rRNA from 1 species